rnacentral:lncRNA from 1 species
GUCAAAAGAAGUAAUAUGACAAUUUUCAAAUUAUUGUGAAAAGGAAGUCUUGAUGAUUUUAUCUUAGUAAACAUGUACUUGAAAUUGAACUAUUUUCCUCAACCCUGCUUAUGACUUUUUGAGGGGCAUACACUUGAGUUCACUAAUCCUAUAGCAGUUUCCCCAAAGAAUGUGUAAGACUUUACUUACAGUUUCUAACCUAUUAAAAAACAACAACAACAAACCUGUUUAUGUGAUAUAAUUACAGGAGGGCAUCCAACCUGAACGUGGGUAACAGCCAUGUGUUGGUCAGCACAGCUGUCCUGUCCCCACAUGUGUGCAUCAGGCACAGUGCCUGUGUGAAUGACAGAGAUUCCGGCCUCAUCUGCCUCUCCGUCUCCCAGGAUGCUUCCUACGUUGAUCUCUCACAGUGCCACAGGCUGAGGAGCUCACCUCACUGCUUUGCAAGUGGUAGGUGUGUGGAAACCCAGUGACUCAGGCCCAGACUUGAAUGAGGCCUUUGCUGAUUUGGCAGAUGGGUGUAAACAUGGAGACGCGCUGUGUUUGUUCCGGUUUCUCUUCCGCACCCUCUGGAUUUACAGCUUUGCCCAGUACAAGAGUGACCAGUAAUGAUCUCUAGACCAGAAUUUGAACAUGCACAUCCUUGAGGCCACCAGUGAAAAGACUGUAAGGUCAUAUAGCUUAUACCAUUUCAAGGAGUCAUUGUCUAACCUGGAGGUAAUGUACGAUCAUUUUAUACACUGCCACAGAUUCAUUAUG